UGGGGAAUAUUGGACAAUGGGCGCAAGCCUGAUCCAGCCAUGCCGCGUGUGUGAAGAAGGCCUUUUGGUUGUAAAGCACUUUAAGCGAGGAGGAGGCUACUUGGAUUAAUACUCUAAGAUAGUGGACGUUACUCGCAGAAUAAGCACCGGCUAACUCUGUGCCAGCAGCCGCGGUAAUACAGAGGGUGCGAGCGUUAAUCGGAUUUACUGGGCGUAAAGCGUGCGUAGGCGGCUUCUUAAGUCGGAUGUGAAAUCCCUGAGCUUAACUUAGGAAGUGCAUUAGAUACUAGGAAGCUAGAGUAUGGGAGAGGAUGGUAGAAUUCCAGGUGUAGCGGUGAAAUGCGUAGAGAUCUGGAGGAAUACCGAUGGCGAAGGCAGACAUCUGGCCUAAUACUGACGCUGAGGUACGAAAGCAUGGGGAGCAAACAGG
rnacentral:rRNA from 1 species